rnacentral:tRNA from 1 species
GCCGAGGUGGCGGAACUGGUAGACGCGCUAGGUUGAGGGCCUAGUCCUCUUUUUUGAGGGUGGAGGUUCAAGUCCUCUUCUCGGCACCA